CUAACUCUCGUUUUAUUCAGAUCAAUCCGUCGGCUUUGAAAUCCCUAUAAAUAGAUAAGAUGCACAAGUAAUAUAAUACAUAAUGUUAGAGGUGAUAUGGAAUGAAGUAUCCCAAUUGUUACACAUGAUACUAUUGCACUAACUCUAACUCAAAGAUUUUAUCAAUUUUAANGUUUUAUUCAGAUCAAUCCGUCGGCUUUGAAUCCCUAUAAUAGAUAAGAUGCACAAGUAAUAUAAUACAUAAUGUUAGAGGUGAUAUGGAAUGAAGUAUCCCAAUUGUUACACAUGAUACUAUUGCACUAACUCUAACUCAAAGAUUUUAUCAAUUUUAAGAUAAAAUCUGUACGAGGAAAAAUCCCAUGAAAUUUGUUCAAGGAAUAGUAGAAGUCCUAAGCAGGGAAGGAGAUGAGUUGAAGAUUUCCUGUCCAAGCUCAUUUAUUUUAUCAAUCAGCAUUAUUUGCUCUG
rnacentral:lncRNA from 1 species